AGCAGCCGCGGUAAUUCCAGCUCCAAUAGCGUAUAUUAAAGUUGUUGCAGUUAAAAAGCUCGUAGUUGAAUUUCGGGGUCAGUAGAUUGGUCGUGCCUCUGGUACGUACUGGUCUUACUGGCUCCUCCUUCCUGAUGAACCGUAAUGCCAUUAAUUUGGUGUUGCGGGGAGACUGGACUGUUACUUUGAAAAAUUAGAGUGUUUAAAGCAGGCUAACGCUUGAAUACAUUAGCAUGGAAUAAUGAAAUAGGACGUUCGAUCUUAUUUUGUUGGUUUCUAAGAUUGACGUAAUGAUUAAUAGGGAUAGUUGGGGGCAUUAGUAUUCAAUUGUCAGAGGUGAAAUUCUUGGAUUUAUUGAAGACUAACUACUGCGAAAGCAUUUGCCAAGGAUGUUUUCAUUAAUCAAGAACGAA
rnacentral:rRNA from 1 species